GUUUCACGAAACUAGGGUUCCGGCUUUCCCAGGGAAAGUGACUGGUCCGAGAGUUUCGGGCCCUGCCAGCAGGGUUCCACGGAGGGAUAAAAGCCCGGGAGGU
rnacentral:sRNA from 20 species